AAAUUGAAGAGUUUGAUCAUGGCUCAGAUUGAACGCUGGCGGCAGGCCUAACACAUGCAAGUCGAACGGUAACAGGAAGCAGCUUGCUGCUUCGCUGACGAGUGGCGGACGGGUGAGUAAUGUCUGGGAAACUGCCUGAUGGAGGGGGAUAACUACUGGAAACGGUGGCUAAUACCGCAUAACGUCGCAAGACCAAAGAGGGGGACCUUCGGGCCUCUUGCCAUCAGAUGUGCCCAGAUGGGAUUAGCUUGUUGGUGAGGUAACGGCUCACCAAGGCGACGAUCCCUAGCUGGUCUGAGAGGAUGACCAGCCACACUGGAACUGAGACACGGUCCAGACUCCUACGGGAGGCAGCAGUGGGGAAUAUUGCACAAUGGGCGCAAGCCUGAUGCAGCCAUGCCGCGUGUAUGAAGAAGGCCUUCGGGUUGUAAAGUACUUUCAGCGGGGAGGAAGGUGUUGUGGUUAAUAACCGCAGCAAUUGACGUUACCCGCAGAAGAAGCACCGGCUAACUCCGUGCCAGCAGCCGCGGUAAUACGGAGGGUGCAAGCGUUAAUCGGAAUUACUGGGCGUAAAGCGCACGCAGGCGGUCUGUCAAGUCGGAUGUGAAAUCCCCGGGCUCAACCUGGGAACUGCAUUCGAAACUGGCAGGCUUGAGUCUUGUAGAGGGGGGUAGAAUUCCAGGUGUAGCGGUGAAAUGCGUAGAGAUCUGGAGGAAUACCGGUGGCGAAGGCGGCCCCCUGGACAAAGACUGACGCUCAGGUGCGAAAGCGUGGGGAGCAAACAGGAUUAGAUACCCUGGUAGUCCACGCCGUAAACGAUGUCUACUUGGAGGUUGUGCCCUUGAGGCGUGGCUUCCGGAGCUAACGCGUUAAGUAGACCGCCUGGGGAGUACGGCCGCAAGGUUAAAACUCAAAUGAAUUGACGGGGGCCCGCACAAGCGGUGGAGCAUGUGGUUUAAUUCGAUGCAACGCGAAGAACCUUACCUGGUCUUGACAUCCACAGAAUUCCAGAGAUGCGGAAGUGCCUUCGGGAACUGUGAGACAGGUGCUGCAUGGCUGUCGUCAGCUCGUGUUGUGAAAUGUUGGGUUAAGUCCCGCAACGAGCGCAACCCUUAUCCUUUGUUGCCAGCGGUCCGGCCGGGAACUCAAAGGAGACUGCCAGUGAUAAACUGGAGGAAGGUGGGGAUGACGUCAAGUCAUCAUGGCCCUUACGACCAGGGCUACACACGUGCUACAAUGGCGCAUACAAAGAGAAGCGACCUCGCGAGAGCAAGCGGACCUCAUAAAGUGCGUCGUAGUCCGGAUUGGAGUCUGCAACUCGACUCCAUGAAGUCGGAAUCGCUAGUAAUCGUGGAUCAGAAUGCCACGGUGAAUACGUUCCCGGGCCUUGUACACACCGCCCGUCACACCAUGGGAGUGGGUUGCAAAAGAAGUAGGUAGCUUAACCUUCGGGAGGGCGCUUACCACUUUGUGAUUCAUGACUGGGGUGAAGUCGUAACAAGGUAACCGUAGGGGAACCUGCGGUUGGAUCACCUCCUUACCUUAAAGAAGC
rnacentral:rRNA from 1 species